GGUUAAGCGACUAAGCGUACACGGUGGAUGCCCUGGCAGUCAGAGGCGAUGAAGGACGUGCUAAUCUGCGAUAAGCGUCGGUAAGGUGAUAUGAACCGUUAUAACCGGCGAUUUCCGAAUGGGGAAACCCAGUGUGUUUCGACACACUAUCAUUAACUGAAUCCAUAGGUUAAUGAGGCGAACCGGGGGAACUGAAACAUCUAAGUACCCCGAGGAAAAGAAAUCAACCGAGAUUCCCCCAGUAGCGGCGAGCGAACGGGGAGGAGCCCAGAGCCUGAAUCAGUGUGUGUGUUAGUGGAAGCGUCUGGAAAGGCGCGCGAUACAGGGUGACAGCCCCGUACACAAAAAUGCACAUACUGUGAGCUCGAUGAGUAGGGCGGGACACGUGGUAUCCUGUCUGAAUAUGGGGGGACCAUCCUCCAAGGCUAAAUACUCCUGACUGACCGAUAGUGAACCAGUACCGUGAGGGAAAGGCGAAAAGAACCCCGGCGAGGGGAGUGAAAAAGAACCUGAAACCGUGUACGUACAAGCAGUGGGAGCCUCUUUUAUGGGGUGACUGCGUACCUUUUGUAUAAUGGGUCAGCGACUUAUAUUCUGUAGCAAGGUUAACCGAAUAGGGGAGCCGAAGGGAAACCGAGUCUUAACUGGGCGUUAAGUUGCAGGGUAUAGACCCGAAACCCGGUGAUCUAGCCAUGGGCAGGUUGAAGGUUGGGUAACACUAACUGGAGGACCGAACCGACUAAUGUUGAAAAAUUAGCGGAUGACUUGUGGCUGGGGGUGAAAGGCCAAUCAAACCGGGAGAUAGCUGGUUCUCCCCGAAAGCUAUUUAGGUAGCGCCUCGUGAAUUCAUCUCCGGGGGUAGAGCACUGUUUCGGCAAGGGGGUCAUCCCGACUUACCAACCCGAUGCAAACUGCGAAUACCGGAGAAUGUUAUCACGGGAGACACACGGCGGGUGCUAACGUCCGUCGUGAAGAGGGAAACAACCCAGACCGCCAGCUAAGGUCCCAAAGUCAUGGUUAAGUGGGAAACGAUGUGGGAAGGCCCAGACAGCCAGGAUGUUGGCUUAGAAGCAGCCAUCAUUUAAAGAAAGCGUAAUAGCUCACUGGUCGAGUCGGCCUGCGCGGAAGAUGUAACGGGGCUAAACCAUGCACCGAAGCUGCGGCAGCGACGCUUAUGCGUUGUUGGGUAGGGGAGCGUUCUGUAAGCCUGCGAAGGUGUGCUGUGAGGCAUGCUGGAGGUAUCAGAAGUGCGAAUGCUGACAUAAGUAACGAUAAAGCGGGUGAAAAGCCCGCUCGCCGGAAGACCAAGGGUUCCUGUCCAACGUUAAUCGGGGCAGGGUGAGUCGACCCCUAAGGCGAGGCCGAAAGGCGUAGUCGAUGGGAAACAGGUUAAUAUUCCUGUACUUGGUGUUACUGCGAAGGGGGGACGGAGAAGGCUAUGUUGGCCGGGCGACGGUUGUCCCGGUUUAAGCGUGUAGGCUGGUUUUCCAGGCAAAUCCGGAAAAGAGAAGGCUAUGUUGGUACGGGCGACGGUUGUCCCGGUUUAAGCGUGUAGGCUGGUUUUCCAGGCAAAUCCGGAAAAUCAAGGCUGAGGCGUGAUGACGAGGCACUACGGUGCUGAAGCAACAAAUGCCCUGCUUCCAGGAAAAGCCUCUAAGCAUCAGGUAACAUCAAAUCGUACCCCAAACCGACACAGGUGGUCAGGUAGAGAAUACCAAGGCGCUUGAGAGAACUCGGGUGAAGGAACUAGGCAAAAUGGUGCCGUAACUUCGGGAGAAGGCACGCUGAUAUGUAGGUGAAGCGACUUGCUCGUGGAGCUGAAAUCAGUCGAAGAUACCAGCUGGCUGCAACUGUUUAUUAAAAACACAGCACUGUGCAAACACGAAAGUGGACGUAUACGGUGUGACGCCUGCCCGGUGCCGGAAGGUUAAUUGAUGGGGUUAGCGGUAACGCGAAGCUCUUGAUCGAAGCCCCGGUAAACGGCGGCCGUAACUAUAACGGUCCUAAGGUAGCGAAAUUCCUUGUCGGGUAAGUUCCGACCUGCACGAAUGGCGUAAUGAUGGCCAGGCUGUCUCCACCCGAGACUCAGUGAAAUUGAACUCGCUGUGAAGAUGCAGUGUACCCGCGGCAAGACGGAAAGACCCCGUGAACCUUUACUAUAGCUUGACACUGAACAUUGAGCCUUGAUGUGUAGGAUAGGUGGGAGGCUUUGAAGUGUGGACGCCAGUCUGCAUGGAGCCGACCUUGAAAUACCACCCUUUAAUGUUUGAUGUUCUAACGUUGGCCCGUAAUCCGGGUUGCGGACAGUGUCUGGUGGGUAGUUUGACUGGGGCGGUCUCCUCCUAAAGAGUAACGGAGGAGCACGAAGGUUGGCUAAUCCUGGUCGGACAUCAGGAGGUUAGUGCAAUGGCAUAAGCCAGCUUGACUGCGAGCGUGACGGCGCGAGCAGGUGCGAAAGCAGGUCAUAGUGAUCCGGUGGUUCUGAAUGGAAGGGCCAUCGCUCAACGGAUAAAAGGUACUCCGGGGAUAACAGGCUGAUACCGCCCAAGAGUUCAUAUCGACGGCGGUGUUUGGCACCUCGAUGUCGGCUCAUCACAUCCUGGGGCUGAAGUAGGUCCCAAGGGUAUGGCUGUUCGCCAUUUAAAGUGGUACGCGAGCUGGGUUUAGAACGUCGUGAGACAGUUCGGUCCCUAUCUGCCGUGGGCGCUGGAGAACUGAGGGGGGCUGCUCCUAGUACGAGAGGACCGGAGUGGACGCAUCACUGGUGUUCGGGUUGUCAUGCCAAUGGCACUGCCCGGUAGCUAAAUGCGGAAGAGAUAAGUGCUGAAAGCAUCUAAGCACGAAACUUGCCCCGAGAUGAGUUCUCCCUGAGACUUUAAGUCUCCUGAAGGAACGUUGAAGACGACGACGUUGAUAGGCCGGGUGUGUAAGCGCAGCGAUGCGUUGAGCUAACCGGUACUAAUGAACCGUGAGGCUUAACCUU
rnacentral:rRNA from 1 species